rnacentral:lncRNA from 1 species
AAGCAUUUUGAUAAACUUUUCUCCUGCUCUAAAGUUUGCCUUGGUCUUUUCUUCUACCUUAUGCCCCUCAGUUGAAUUCUUUCUUCUGAGGCGGCAGGAAUUGACUUUGCUGAUAUAUUUCGGUGCGCUGUGACUCGGAUAACUUUCACCGCUAACAUACAUUGGCACUGCUUGACUGGGAUCCAUGCCCUAAUGGUAUUGUGAUAAAUAGACACUUAUCUCAAGCAAUUCUUACAUCAAACAUUAUGAAGUAGAAACAUUCCAUGCUCAUGGACGGGAAGAAUCAAUAUCGUGAAAAUGGCCAUACUGCCCAAAUAAAUUUAUAGAUUCAAUGCCAUCCCCAUCAAGCUACUAUUUACUUUCUUCACAGAACCAGAAAAAACUACUUUAAAUUUCAUAUGGAAUCAAAAAAGAGCCUGUGUAGCCAAGACAAUCCUAAGCAAAAAGAACAAAGCUGGAGGCAUCAAGCUGCCUGACUUCAAACUAUACUACAAGGCUACAGUAAUCAAAGCAGCAUGGUACUGGUAUCAAAACAGAUAUAUAGACCAAUUGAACAGAACAGAGGCCUCCGAAAUAACACAACAUAUCUACAACCACCUGAUCUUUGACAAACCUGACAAAAAUAAGCAAUGGGGAAAGGAUUCCCUAUUUAAUAAAUGGUGCUGGGAAAACUGGCUAGCCAUAUGCAGAAAACAGAAACUGGACCCCUUCCUUACACCUUAUACAGAAAUUAACUCAAGAUGGAUCAAAAACUUAAAUGUAAAACCUAAAACUAUAAAAACCCUAGAAGAAAACCUAGGCAAUACUAUUCAGGACUUAGGCAUGGACAAAGAUUUCAUGACUAAAUUGCCAAAACCAAUUGCAAUAAAAGGCAAAAUUGACAAAUAGGAUCUAAUUAAACUAAAGAGCUUCUGCUCAGCAAAAUAAACUAUCUCAGAGAGAACACUCAAUCUAAAGAAUGGGAGAAAAUUUGUGCAAUCUAUCCAUCUGACAAUGGUCUAAUAUCCAGCAUCUACAAGGAACUUAAACAAAUUUACAAGAAAAAAACACACAACCCCACCAAAAAGUGGGCAAAGGAUAUGGACAGACUCUUCUCAAAAUAAGGCAUUUGUGAAGCUAACAAACAAAUGAAAAAAAAAGCUCACCAUCACUGGUCAUUAAAGAAAUGCAAAUCAAAACCAAAAUGAAGAUACCAUGUCACGCCAGUUAGAAUGGUGAUCAUUAAAAAGUCUGGAAACAACAGAUGCUGGCGAGUAUGCGGAGAAAUAGGAACACUUUUACACUGUGGAUGGGAGUGUAAAUACUUUAACCAUUGUGGAAGACAGUGUGGUGAUCCCUCAAGGAUGUAGAACCAGAAAUACCAUUUGACCCAGCAAUCCCAUUACUGAGUAUAUACCCAAAGGAUUAUUAAUCAUUCUACUAUAAAAAGACACAUGCACACGUGUGUUUAUUUUACAGCACUAUUUACAAUAGCAAAGACUUGGAACCAACCCAAAUGCCCAUCAGUGAUGGACUGGAUAAAGAAAAUGUGGCACAUAUACACCAUGGAAUACUAUGCAUCCAUAAUAAAGAAUAAGUUUAUGUCCUUUUCAG